rnacentral:lncRNA from 1 species
GGAUAGAGGUCCACUGACGCUUGAGCUGAGCUUCCCCGUUGCACAGAAACAUUUCUGUUCCUUUAGUCAUUCAACAAACCUUGAUUGAGCCCCUCCUUUGUGCCAGGCACUGCGCUGGGAGCUAGGAAUACGGCUGUGAACCAAAGUCCUGCCUGCAUGGAGCUUACAGUGUGAUGGACGGCUCUGGCGACAGGGACCAACAAAGCAAUGCAAAAGAUCAGGGGGCCCCAGUGCUCUGAUGGAAACCACAGUGGGGAACCUUCCAUGCAGGUAGUCUGGGGUGAUGGAAUGCCACAGAAGAGAGAUGCCCAGCAAGGCCGGAGCAGAGGCCCACGGCACGGCCAGACACUGGGGUAGGCGUUGAAUGAGCCCCAGCUGACCAGGCAAACCCACGAAAACACCAACACGGAGAGUGCUUUCUGCAGUAGUGACUGGCAAGAGAUUUUAGUCCACUUAAUCCUCACGACAGAUCGUAUGAGGUCGGUGCUGUCACUGUAUCCAUCUUACAGCUCAGGAAACUGAGGCAGACGCAGGCAGAAACCAGGAGGGCUGAGACUGGAACCCUGGCGGUAUUUCUCCAGAAUCUCCCAUUUAACCACUGAGCUACACACCCAGCCAGCGUAAAGCCAGCUAAUGAUAGACAGGGUCCUACCUGGCUCACGAAGGCAGUUGGCAUUUACAAGGGCACAGGUGGCCUAGCGGAGGCAAGAAUGGGCUUUGGAAUUAGGCCUGGAUUCCACUCCCCGCACUGACACCAAUGAACCCUGAGGCUGACCCUCCCCGGAGCCUGCAUUUCCUUCACUGGGAAGUGGAAGGAACACCUGCCUUAGCGGUGGGUGUGAGAAAUGUUGGGUGAGAAGGUUCUGGCGUAUGGCAGAUUUUCAUUAAACGAUUACUUUUAUUACUUUGACAGAUGAGCUGGGGAGGUGGCCUGCUCAAAACUGAGACUUGAGAAGAAUCUCUCUUAAAAGAGAGGCCCAAUCUUCCUUGGCUAUGGGGGCGCAGAGGAGGGGUGACAGCUAGCUGAAGGGAUCUGGUGGCUUCAGAGGACACGGCACGAGCAAGUGGUUGGGACUCUGGCUUCAGAGCUCAGCAGACUCGGGUUCAAGUUCCGGUAUCCAGCGCGUGCUCACUGGGUCUCCUUGGGGAGUCGCUUAACUUCUUGGAGUCUGUGAAGUGAGGACGCUGAGAGUACCUUCCUCGUAGGGGUGAGAAGAAUGGGUGGAAUCAUUCAGGGAAAGGAGUGCUGGGCACACCGGCUGGCA